UACGGAGGGUGCAAGCGUUAUCCGGAUUCACUGGGUUUAAAGGGUGCGUAGGAGGGCAGGUAAGUCAGUGGUGAAAUCUCUGGGCUUAACCCAGAAACUGCCGUUGAUACUAUCUGUCUUGAAUACCGUGGAGGUGAGCGGAAUAUGUCAUGUAGCGGUGAAAUGCUUAGAUAUGACAUAGAACACCAAUUGCGAAGGCAGCCCGCUACACGGUUAUUGACACUGAGGCACGAAAGCGUGGGGAUCAAACAGG
rnacentral:rRNA from 1 species